AGAGGAGUGGUUAGCUUCUGCGAAGCUACGAAUCGAAGCCCCAGUAAACGGCGGCCGUAACUAUAACGGUCCUAAGGUAGCGAAAUUCCUUGUCGGGUAAGUUCCGACCCGCACGAAAGGCGUAACGAUUUGGGCACUGUCUCAACGAGAGACUCGGUGAAAUCAUAGUACCUGUGAAGAUGCAGGUUACCCGCGACAGGACGGAAAGACCCCGUGGAGCUUUACUGUAGCCUGAUAUUGAAAUUCGGCACAGCUUGUACAGGAUAGGUAGGAGCCUUUGAAACGUGAGCGCUAGCUUACGUGGAGGCGCUGGUGGG
rnacentral:rRNA from 1 species